ACCAACGCCCUUCGGGGCUUCUUGGUGAUUCAUGAUAACUUCACGGAUCGCAUGGCCUUGCGCCGGCGACGGUUCAUUCAAAUUUCUGCCCUAUCAACUUUCGAUGGUAAGGUAUUGGCUUACCAUGGUUUCAACGGGUAACGGGGAAUUAGGGUUCGAUUCCGGAGAGGGAGCCUGAGAAACGGCUACCACAUCCAAGGAAGGCAGCAGGCGCGCAAAUUACCCAAUCCCGACACGGGGAGGUAGUGACAAUAAAUACUGAUACAGGGCUCUUUUGGGUCUUGUAAUUGGAAUGAGUACAAUUUAAACCUCUUAACGAGGAACAAUUGGAGGGCAAGUCUGGUGCCAGCAGCCGCGGUAAUUCCAGCUCCAAUAGCGUAUAUUAAAGUUGUUGCAGUUAAAAAGCUCGUAGUUGAAACUUGGGCCUGGCUGGCAGGUCCGCCUCACCGCGUGUACUUGUCCGGCCGGGCCUUUCCUUCUGGAGAACCUCAUGCCCUUCACUGGGUGUGUUGGGGAACCAGGACUUUUACUUUGAAAAAAUUAGAGUGUUCAAAGCAGGCCUUUGCUCGAAUACGUUAGCAUGGAAUAAUAGAAUAGGACGUGCGGUCCUAUUUUGUUGGUUUCUAGGACCGCCGUAAUGAUUAAUAGGGACAGUCGGGGGCAUCAGUAUUCAAUUGUCAGAGGUGAAAUUCUUGGAUUUAUUGAAGACUAACUACUGCGAAAGCAUUUGCCAAGGAUGUUUUCAUUAAUCAGUGAACGAAAGUUAGGGGAUCGAAGACGAUCAGAUACCGUCGUAGUCUUAACCGUAAACUAUGCCGACUAGGGAUCGGGCGAUGUUCUUUUUCUGACUCGCUCGGCACCUUACGAGAAAUCAAAG
rnacentral:rRNA from 1 species